AGCGGCGGAUGGGUGAGUAACACGUGGGGAACCUGCCCCUAAGUCUGGGAUACCAUUUGGAAACAGGUGCUAAUACCGGAUAAUAAAGCAGAUCGCAUGAUCAGCUUUUGAAAGGCGGCGUAAGCUGUCGCUAAGGGAUGGCCCCGCGGUGCAUUAGCUAGUUGGUAAGGUAACGGCUUACCAAGGCGACGAUGCAUAGCCGAGUUGAGAGACUGAUCGGCCACAUUGGGACUGAGACACGGCCCAAACUCCUACGGGAGGCAGCAGUAGGGAAUCUUCCACAAUGGACGCAAGUCUGAUGGAGCAACGCCGCGUGAGUGAAGAAGGUUUUCGGAUCGUAAAGCUCUGUUGUUGGUGAAGAAGGAUAGAGGUAGUAACUGGCCUUUAUUUGACGGUAAUCAACCAGAAAGUCACGGCUAACUACAUGCCAGCAGCCGCGGUAAUACGUAGGUGGCAAGCGUUGUCCGGAUUUAUUGGGCGUAAAGCGAGCGCAGGCGGAAAAAUAAGUCUAAUGUGAAAGCCCUCGGCUUAACCGAGGAACUGCAUCGGAAACUGUUUUUCUUGAGUGCAGAAGAGGAGAGUGGAACUCCAUGUGUAGCGGUGGAAUGCGUAGAUAUAUGGAAGAACACCAGUGGCGAAGGCGGCUCUCUGGUCUGCAACUGACGCUGAGGCUCGAAAGCAAGGGUAGCGAACAGGAUUAGAUACCCUGGUAGUCCAUGCCGUAAACGAUGAGUGCUAAGUGU
rnacentral:rRNA from 1 species